rnacentral:lncRNA from 1 species
CGCUCAGUGGAUUAAGGGUCUGGUGUUGCCGUGAGCUGUGGUGUAGGUUGGAGAUGCAGCUUGGAUCUGACGUUGCUGUGGUGUAAGCCAGCGGCGACAGCUCCUUUUUGACCUCUAGCCUGGGAACCUCUAUAUGCCAUGGGUGCAGGCCUGAAAAGACCAAAAAAAAAAGUAAAACAAAAGAAAAAAGAAAAAAAUUAAAAAAUUGUAUUGCCCACACCCCCAAAGCAGAAAGGAACUCACAACUGGGAACAUAGAAGGAAGAAGAAGAGAAAAGGCAAGAAUGUAGAGAUAAAAGUUUCCUGGGAGUUCCCUGUCGUGGUGCAGCAGAAGCGAAUUCAACUAGGAACCAUGAGGUUGCCGGGAUCGAACUUGCCACUUCAUUGUUUCCCGUCGGAUUCAUUCCCGAUGUGCCACAAUGGGAACUCCAAAUAAUUAUUUUUGAAAAGAGAACAGGAGGUCCCUGGUAGCCAAUAGUUAAGGAUCCAACAUUGUUAUUGCUGUUGUAUGGGUUUGAUCCCUGGCCUGGGACCUUCCACAUGCUGAAGGCAUGGCCAGAAAAAAGAAAGAACCUUGAAGAUCUGCCCUGACUCUUUGUCUAACUCCCCAGAGGUGACACCAUUCACAUUUUUGUAGUAAAGUUUUGAGAUUUCCCCAUAUGCAUUGAAAGAUAAAUGUGCUCUAAAUAAAUGAGUGAAAUAAAACAGAUCUUAAAAAUACAGUAACCAGUGACUUCAGUCAGAAGGUUGGAAGAUAGGAGUUCCCUCUGUGGCACAGCAGGUUAAGGAUCCAGGGUUAUCUCUGGUGCAGCUUGGAUUUGAUCCUCAGCCCAGUGUGAUGGGUUAAGGAUCCAGCUUCGCCACAGCUGUGACAUAAGGUACAAUCCCUGGCCUGGAAACUUCCAUUUGCCAUGGGUGAGGGCCAAAAAAAAAGUUGGAAAAUAAAAUUGAGGUGUUCUUCAAAAAAAGAAAGCUGGGAGUUCCCAUCAUGGCUUAGUGGUUAACGAAUCUGACUAGGAAACAUGAGGUUUCGGGUUCAAUCCCUGGCCUUCCUUGCUCAGUGGGUUAAGGAUCUGGUGUUGCUGUGAGCUGUGGUGUAGGUUGCAGACGUGGCUCGGAUCCCGAGUUGCUGUGGCUGUGGUGUAGGCCGGCGGCUACAGCUCCGAUUCGACCCCUAGCCUGGGAACUUCCAUGUGCCGCGGGAGCGGCCCUAGAAAAGGCAAAAAGACAAAAAAAAAAA